rnacentral:misc_RNA from 1 species
GAUGAAGAACGCAGCAAAAUGCGAUAAGUAAUGUGAAUUGCAGAAUUCAGUGAAUCAUCGAAUCUUUGAACGCACAUUGCGCCCGCCAGUAUUCUGGCGGGCAUGCCUGUUCGAGCGUCAUUUCAACCCUCAAGCACAGCUUGGUGUUGGGAUUCGUGAGGUAAACUCACGGUCCCCAAAUUGAUUGGCGGUCACGUCGAGCUUCCAUAGCGUAGUAAUUACACCUCGUUACUGGUAAUCGUCGCGGCCACGCCGUUAAACCCCAACUUCUGAAUGUUGACCUCGGAUCAGGUAGGAAUACCCGCUGAACUUAAGCAUAUCAAUAAGCGGAGGA